rnacentral:rRNA from 1 species
UCUACGGGUGGCUGCAGUGGGGAAUAUUGGACAAUGGGCGAAAGCCUGAUCCAGCCAUGCCGCGUGUGUGAAGAAGGCCUUCGGGUUGUAAAGCACUUUCAGUGGGGAAGAAAGCCUUGGGGCUAAUACCCUCGAGGAAGGACAUCACCCACAGAAGAAGCACCGGCUAACUCCGUGCCAGCAGCCGCGGUAAUACGGAGGGUGCGAGCGUUAAUCGGAAUUACUGGGCGUAAAGCGCGCGUAGGCGGUCUGAUAAGCCGGUUGUGAAAGCCCCGGGCUCAACCUGGGAACGGCAUCCGGAACUGUCAGGCUAGAGUUCAGGAGAGGAAGGUAGAAUUCCCGGUGUAGCGGUGAAAUGCGUAGAGCUCGGGAGGAAUACCAGUGGCGAAGGCGGCCUUCUGGACUGACACUGACGCUGAGGUGCGAAAGCGUGGGUAGCAAACAGGAUUAGAUACCCGAGUAGUC